CUACGGGGUGCUGCAGUAAGGAAUAUUGCGCAAUGGAGGCAACUCUGACGCAGCCAUGCCGCGUGCAGGAAGAAGGCCUUAUGGGUCGUAAACUGCUUUUAUUUAGGAAUAAACCCCCGAACGUGUUCGGGGCUGAAGGUACUAAACGAAUAAGCACCGGCUAACUCCGUGCCAGCAGCCGGCGGUAAUACGGAGGGUGCAAGCGUUAUCCGGAUUUAUUGGGUUUAAAGGGUGCGCAGGCGGGCUAUUAAGUCAGUGGUGAAAUCCCGGGGCUCAACUCCGGAACUGCCAUUGAUACUGAUAGUCUUGAGUUUGGUUGAAGUGGGCGGAAUGUAGCAUGUAGCGGUGAAAUGCAUAGAUAUGCUACAGAACACCAAUCGCGAAGGCAGCUCACUAAGCCAAAACUGACGCUCAUGCACGAAAGCGUGGGGAUCAAACAGGAUUAGAUACCCCGGUAGUC
rnacentral:rRNA from 1 species